rnacentral:sRNA from 1 species
CUUUCAGUAGUGAAGAAAAACUUUUAAAGUGUGGUGCUUGUAACAAAUUAAUGUAUUGUGGAGUCAAUUGUCAGAGAGAGGACUGGAAAAUACACAAGACUGAAUGUAAAAUUAUGAAAAGAGUUCCUAAUGUACCUACAGACAGCAUACGCCUAUUUCUGAGACUGAUCAUACGUUUUUUGAAAGGUGAUGGUAAACAGAAACAUCCUAAUGAUGAAUCUCCAUGCAUACGUACUUUUAAUGAUCUGAUGUCCCGUGAGUAGGUCAGCUUUCUAUUAGUUACUCAUACAUUAUCUUCUUUUUCUGUU